AAGCGACCACAGUGAGGCGGAUGUGGCUGACUGAGAUCUGAGAUCUUUGCACUGCAUGAUUACGGUGAAGAGGCUGAGACCUAACCAAUGAGAGGUCUUCCAGGACCCAGAGGAAAGAAAUUGGUGGCAGAGAAAGGAUGAAAUUAUGUUCAAAAUUGUCUUUCCUAUUCUAGGGCCAAAGUUCAUGGAAUCAAAGUGGAAUUUUAAAUUAUUCCAUCACCAAGUAUCCAUAGCUCUGUCGUCACCAAGAAUGUGUGUUCAUUGAGAUUGGACUGAAAGUUUUGAAAAUCUAAGUAGAAGAGUUUUACAUGGACUAGAAUUGUAUCUUGAUAUCCAUGUCUAAAAAAAAUUUGGUCUGUAGUAACACUUGGAAUUGGGUGUAGGAAAGCCACUGCAGCAGUACUGAUCUUUGA